CAAAUAAUAGUUUAAAUAAAACCUUAGCAUUGGAAGCUAAAUAUCACAUGUCUGUGUUAUUUGA
rnacentral:tRNA from 1 species